rnacentral:rRNA from 1 species
GUCAAGAAUGCAGUUGACGCGAUUUUCGCCGUAGCAAUACGGCGGAGAUUGAGUAGCGCAAGGGUGCGUAACACGUGAGAGUCUGCCAUGAAGUUGGGGAUAACUCGCUGAAAGGCGAGCUAAUACCGAAUGCGCCCGCAAGGGCAAAGCCGGGGAUCCCGCGAAAGCGGGACCUGGCGCUUCUUGAUGAGCUCGCGGCCUAUCAGCUAGUUGGCGGGGUAAAGGCCCACCAAGGCUAAGACGGGUAGCUGGUCUGAGAGGACGACCAGCCACACUGGAACUGAGACACGGUCCAGACACCUACGGGUGGCAGCAGUCGAGAAUUUUUCUCAAUGGGCGCAAGCCUGAAGGAGCGACGCCGCGUGGGGGAUGAAGGGUUUCGAUCCGUAAACCCCUGUCAUUUGUGAACAAGGCUUGAGCGUGAACAUCGCUCAAGUUGAUAGUAAUGAAAGAGGAAGGGACGGCUAACUCUGUGCCAGCAGCCGCGGUAAUACAGAGGUCCCGAGCGUUGUUCGGAUUCACUGGGCGUAAAGGGUGCGCAUGUGGCUUGGCAAGUUCGAUGUGAAAGCUCAGGGCUUAACCCUGAAAUGGCAUUGGAUACUGCCGGGCUGGAGGUUUGGGAGGGGGGGACUGGAAAUUCUCGGGGUAGCAGUGAAAUGCGUAGAUAUCGAGAGGAACACCAGUGGCGAAGGCGAGUCCCUGGACAACACCUGACACUGAGCACGAAAGCCGGGGGAGCAAACAGGAUUAGAUACCCUGGUAGUCCGGCCCUAAC